CNCGCCUCCCUCCGCGCCAUCAGACGUCCUACGGGAGGCAGCGAGUUGGGGAAUUUUGACGCGAAACUGGGGGAAACCCUGACGUAGCAACGCCGCGUGGAGGAUAGAACGUCCCGUUGGGACGUAAACUCCUUUCGACUGGGAAGAUAAUGACGGUACCAGUGGAAGAAGCCCCGGCUAACUUCGUGCCAGCAGCCGCGGUAAUAC
rnacentral:rRNA from 1 species